rnacentral:lncRNA from 1 species
CUCCCCUUUCCCCUCGCGACUACCUCUUCUCUACCCGACGCAUAGAGCAUCCUCCCUCUCUCGAGCGCCCGACUCGCCCCUGGAAGAGGCCGCGGGUUGGAGGCACCCCUCUCUCUCUCCUUCGCCCCACCCUCUCUCUCCCCAUGGCGGCCCUAGAAGUGGCCGCGGGUUGGAGGCGCCCCUCUCCCUCUCCUCCACCUCACCCUCUCC